UCCAGCUCCGCUCAAGCAGAGGAAAUGGGCGGAACCGUGCCUUAGCACGUCACUACUUCUCUGUCGCUGCCUGAUGCUAUUGGCCGAGUGGAGGGGAGAACCACAGCAGCGCUUAGCGAAGGCGAGUAGCACAGCAACAGAAGCCAACUAGCGCAGAAAAGAGUCGGCGAAGGGUUGACUGAAUGAAAAAUCAACUGGCUAGCUACAUCGAGUGUAGUUUUAGGAAAGUGUCACCCUCCCCCUAAAUAUUUAUUAUAUUUUAUAAGCAACAAACAUUACAGUUUGAUAAUAGUUCAUAUUCGUGUUUACUGUAUAGCCACGAGAGGUUAGUACAAUCCUAAAAGAGCGAGGAUGUUGGUCCCAGCGGGAAGAUAAUGAAGCGGUUGCGCGUUUUGUUGGCGUGCCUCAUCCUCUGGUGGUACCCCAGUCAUAAUGUGUGUUGUUCAGAGCACAGCUCGUCAGCUCCAGGUGUGUCUAGUGGUGAAAGCAGCCUCCCAGAGCAUCAUCAUGAGCAGCACCACAGGACUGACCACAAGGAGGAGUCGUCGUCGAGGACACACACACACACCUACGACGUGGAACUGGAGACAAAGAGGGCUACACUAGAGGAGCCCAACACACCGAACACUGAACAGACUGUGAAUCAGAAGGAGCCUGUGGUGGUCUGGUCUGCCCCAGAACCACACCUGGAUCCAGAACCCCCUGCUGCUGCUGCUGAGCCUCACACACACAUCCACACAGACCCAGAGCCCGAUACACAACCCACUUCCCUCCAGAACCAGGCUCCCUCAUCCCCCUCCAUCCCACCGCUCAGCGAUGACCCAACCCAGGGACCGGCCUCCACAGACCACACAGGCCCAGUCAAGACCCCCAGUGAUGCACCGGCAGAACCCAGCCCAGCCCCCUCUACAGAAGACCCCCAACACACACCUACCUCUUACAUCCCUGCUCCAGCCCCAUCCAGUUCAAUAGAGGUUGCCAGAUCUCAUCCCGCGGUAGAGGAUUCCCCUGUAGAAGUUGCCAGUGCUGAAGCCGAUCCCUCUUUAGAGGUUGCCAGUGCUGGAUCUAAUUCCUCUCUAGAGGGCAAUGUUUUCGCUGAUUUCUCUGGCUCUCAGUGUGGGAUGAUUCCCCACUACCUGGCAACCCAAACCCCUCCUUUUGGCAGCCCGCCCACGAGGUGA
rnacentral:lncRNA from 1 species